rnacentral:rRNA from 1 species
GAUGAACGCUGGCGGCGUGCCUAAUACAUGCAAGUCGAGCGAACAGAUAAGGAGCUUGCUCCUUUGACGUUAGCGGCGGACGGGUGAGUAACACGUGGGUAACCUACCUAUAAGACUGGGAUAACUUCGGGAAACCGGAGCUAAUACCGGAUAACAUUUGGAACCGCAUGGUUCUAAAGUGAAAGAUGGUUUUGCUAUCACUUAUAGAUGGACCCGCGCCGUAUUAGCUAGUUGGUAAGGUAACGGCUUACCAAGGCGACGAUACGUAGCCGACCUGAGAGGGUGAUCGGCCACACUGGAACUGAGACACGGUCCAGACUCCUACGGGAGGCAGCAGUAGGGAAUCUUCCGCAAUGGGCGAAAGCCUGACGGAGCAACGCCGCGUGAGUGAUGAAGGGUUUCGGCUCGUAAAACUCUGUUAUUAGGGAAGAACAAAUGUGUAAGUAACUGUGCACGUCUUGACGGUACCUAAUCAGUAAGCCACGGCUAACUACGUG